GUGAGUAAUGCUUAGGAAUCUGCCCAGUAGUGGGGGACAACAGUCGGAAACGGCUGCUAAUACCGCAUACGCCCUACGGGGGAAAGCAGGGGAUCUUCGGACCUUGCGCUAUUGGAUGAGCCUAAGUCGGAUUAGCUAGUUGGUGAGGUAAAGGCUCACCAAGGCCACGAUCCGUAGCUGGUUUGAGAGGAUGAUCAGCCACAUCGGGACUGAGACACGGCCCGAACUCCUACGGGAGGCAGCAGUGGGGAAUAUUGGACAAUGGGGGCAACCCUGAUCCAGCCAUGCCGCGUGUGUGAAGAAGGCUUUCGGGUUGUAAAGCACUUUCAGCGAGGAGGAAGGCUCUAAAGCUAAUACCUUUAGGGAUUGACGUUACUCGCAGAAGAAGCACCGGCUAACUCCGUGCCAGCAGCCGCGGUAAUACGGAGGGUGCAAGCGUUAAUCGGAAUUACUGGGCGUAAAGCGCGCGUAGGUGGUUGAGUAAGCGAGAUGUGAAAGCCCCGGG
rnacentral:rRNA from 1 species